rnacentral:rRNA from 1 species
GGCUCAUAAUUGGAGUCUGGCAUGAAAGAAUUAAUGGGUAACAACUGUCUUUUAAGAGGCCUUAGAAUUUACUUAGUAGGUGAAAAUUCCUAUAGACUUAUAAUAGACGAGAAGACCCUAGAAAUUUUAUAUAAAAGGAUGCUUUGUCUUUAUCAUUUUGUUGGGGCGACAGAAUAACAAUGAACUUAUUUUAUCUUAUUUGUACUGACUUUUGAGAAAAAUUAAAUUACUCUAGGGAUAACAGCAUAAUGUGUUAAAGUUUGUGACCUCGAUGUUGGACUAGGGUUUUUGAUGAUCAGAAGUUAUUAAAAUUAGCUCUGU